GACGAACGCUGGCGGCGUGCUUAACACAUGCAAGUCGAACGGAAAGGCCCUGCUUUUGUGGGGUGCUCGAGUGGCGAACGGGUGAGUAACACGUGAGUAACCUGCCCUUGACUUUGGGAUAACUUCAGGAAACUGGGGCUAAUACCGGAUAGGAGCUCCUGCUGCAUGGUGGGGGUUGGAAAGUUUCGGCGGUUGGGGAUGGACUCGCGGCUUAUCAGCUUGUUGGUGGGGUAGUGGCUUACCAAGGCUUUGACGGGUAGCCGGCCUGAGAGGGUGACCGGCCACAUUGGGACUGAGAUACGGCCCAGACUCCUACGGGAGGCAGCAGUGGGGAAUAUUGCACAAUGGGCGGAAGCCUGAUGCAGCAACGCCGCGUGCGGGAUGACGGCCUUCGGGUUGUAAACCGCUUUCGCCUGUGACGAAGCGUGAGUGACGGUAAUGGGUAAAGAAGCACCGGCUAACUACGUGCCAGCAGCCGCGGUGAUACGUAGGGUGCGAGCGUUGUCCGGAUUUAUUGGGCGUAAAGGGCUCGUAGGUGGUUGAUCGCGUCGGAAGUGUAAUCUUGGGGCUUAACCCUGAGCGUGCUUUCGAUACGGGUUGACUUGAGGAAGGUAGGGGAGAAUGGAAUUCCUGGUGGAGCGGUGGAAUGCGCAGAUAUCAGGAGGAACACCAGUGGCGAAGGCGGUUCUCUGGGCCUUUCCUGACGCUGAGGAGCGAAAGCGUGGGGAGCGAACAGGCUUAGAUACCCUGGUAGUCCACGCUGUAAACGGUGGGUACUAGGUGUGGGGUCCAUUCCACGGGUUCCGUGCCGUAGCUAACGCUUUAAGUACCCCGCCUGGGGAGUACGGCCGCAAGGCUAAAACUCAAAGGAAUUGACGGGGCCCCGCACAAGCGGCGGAGCAUGCGGAUUAAUUCGAUGCAACGCGUAGAACCUUACCUGGGUUUGACAUGGAUCGGGAGCGCUCAGAGAUGGGUGUGCCUCUUUUGGGGUCGGUUCACAGGUGGUGCAUGGCUGUCGUCAGCUCGUGUCGUGAGAUGUUGGGUUAAGUCCCGCAACGAGCGCAACCCUUGUUCACUGUUGCCAGCACGUUAUGGUGGGGACUCAGUGGAGACCGCCGGGGUCAGCUCGGAGGAAGGUGGGGAUGACGUCAAGUCAUCAUGCCCCUUAUGUCCAGGGCUUCACGCAUGCUACAAUGGCUGGUACAGAGAGUGGCGAGCCUGUGAGGGUGAGCGAAUCUCGGAAAGCCGGUCUCAGUUCGGAUUGGGGUCUGCAACUCGACCUCAUGAAGUCGGAGUCGCUAGUAAUCGCAGAUCAGCAACGCUGCGGUGAAUACGUUCCCGGG
rnacentral:rRNA from 1 species